rnacentral:rRNA from 1 species
CGGGGAGCACCACAACAGGUGGAGCCUGCGGUUAAUCGGACUCAAACGCCGGGAAACUCACCAGAUAAGACAGCUGAAUGAUAGUCGGGCUGAAGACUCUACUUGACUAGCUGAGAGGAGGUGCAUGGCCGUCGUCAGUUCGUACUGUGAAGCAUCCUGUUAAGUCAGGCAACGAGCGAGACCCACGCCCACAGUUGCCAGCGUACUCUCUGGAGUGACGGGUACACUGUGGGGACCGCCGCUGCUAAAGCGGAGGAAGGAAUGGGCAACGGUAGGUCAGUAUGCCCCGAAUAUCCCGGGCUACACGCGAGCUACAAUGGUUGGUACAAUGGGUAUCUACCCCGAAAGGGGAAGGAAAUCUCUUAAAGCCAAUCGUAGUUCGGAUUGAGGGCUGCAACUCGCCCUCAUGAAGCUGGAAUCCGUAGUAAUCGCGUUUCAACAGAACGCGGUGAAUACGUCCCUGCUCCUU